ACAUGAAUAGUUGCAAACAAAUCGCCGGGCCUUGAUUUCGCAUUUGGGCCUCCCUUAGCAGUAGACGCAUCAUUUCCUGCACCCAUUACACGAAGAACUGUAUUGUCGUCAAUUCCUGGAGGAAUGUCAAUUGAGACAGUUUUUCGCUCUCGAACUGUACCAGAUCCCAUACAAGAGCGACAAGCAGAGUUGGGAGGAAUGGUUGUUCCAGUUCCACCACAAGAGUCACAGGUAGUUUGCAUGUGAAAAGAUGGGGGAAUGAAAUGAAGACGUUGACCAGUACCUUUACAAGCAAAGCAAGUGCUCUUAUGAGAACCGGGUUGCAAGCCAGAUCCAUGACAUGAUGAGCAAGUAGAAGAGACUGAAUAGGAUAAGUCUUUUUUUGCACCCCUCACUGCUUCCAUGAAAUCGAUAGUAAUACUUGCCUCAAUGUCUUCACCAACAAAUACAUCAAAAGAGGUAUUACGACGAGCUUGGGGGCCUCGAGAGGAAAAUCCAAAUAAGUCUUCGAAAUUAAAACCUGGAAAACCAGAAGAAAAAGAAGAAGCGCCAGCAAAUCCGUUCUGGAAUCCUUCAAAAUCACCGCCAGUAAACUCUCCAUUCUUAAAUGCGCCUGCACCAUAUGUAUCGAAAGCUUUUUUCUUCUUCGGAUCCUGCAACACCUCAUAAGCCUGUUUGAUUUCAACAAAU